rnacentral:rRNA from 1 species
UACGUAGGGGGCAAGCGUUGUCCGGAUUUAUUGGGCGUAAAGAGCGUGUAGGCGGCCUGGAAGGUCAGCUGUGAAAACUCGAGGCUCAACCUCGAGACGUCGGUUGAAACCACCUGGCUAGAGUCCGGAAGAGGAGAGUGGAAUUCCUGGUGUAGCGGUGAAAUGCGCAGAUAUCAGGAAGAACACCCGUGGCGAAGGCGGCUCUCUGGGACGGUACUGACGCUGAGACGCGAAAGCGUGGGGAGCGAUCCGG